rnacentral:rRNA from 1 species
AUUGAACGCUGGCGGCAUGCCUUACACAUGCAAGUCGAACGGCAGCACGGGAGCAAUCCUGGUGGCGAGUGGCGAACGGGUGAGUAAUAUAUCGGAACGUGCCCAGUAGUGGGGGAUAACUGCUCGAAAGAGCAGCUAAUACCGCAUACGACCUGAGGGUGAAAGGGGGGGAUCGCAAGACCUCUCGCUAUUGGAGCGGCCGAUAUCAGAUUAGCUAGUUGGUGGGGUAAAGGCCUACCAAGGCAACGAUCUGUAGUUGGUCUGAGAGGACGACCAGCCACACUGGGACUGAGACACGGCACAGACUCCUACGGGAGGCAGCAGUGGGGAAUUUUGGACAAUGGGCGCAAGCCUGAUCCAGCAAUGCCGCGUGCAGGAAGAAGGCCUUCGGGUUGUAAACUGCUUUUGUCAGGAAAGAAAUCCUCUAGGUUAAUACCCUUGGGGGGAUGACGGUACCUGAAGAAUAAGCACCGGCUAACUACGUGCCAGCAGCCGCAGUAACAC